UCUCUUGGAUCCGCCGGCGUCGUUGUUCCAGAGUUGACGAGGGACGACAGAUAGUUUCUGCCGACAGCGGCCAGCCCGUUGGAGCUGCCCUUCCCCGGAGUCCGACUCGUUCUCCUCCCUCUCGUUUUAUCACUCCAUGGGAGUGGGGAUUUGCUUAAGUUUAAGCAGAAGCUUGAAUGAUCUCUCUCUUGUUGUUGGCGUGUGAAGAAGUGAAUGGAAUUGCUUGGCUGAUGAUUUUAAAAGAUGGGAGUUGUUGGCUUAUACUACAAGGAAGUCAAAAUGUGUCUGCCUCUUUUAGAGAAGGUGUAGUCAUCGGUUGCGGCUGAGGUGGUUGGAGGACUUGGGCGGCUGGAGCAUGCUAAGGAAUAGGGUAGGGAGAAGGGGAUUGGUGGAGUUGGGGGGCUGUGGCAGAGCUAUUGCUGCUUCACACACGCACGCCUCCUCUCUCUUUUCUUUCUUCUCUUAUUUCCUCCCUAUUUCCUUUCUUUGUAGUCAACAUUCUCAUGCUUAGGUAGAUAUUAGUAUUGUAAUAGCUAGGUUGGUUGUGGUGCAAAUAAAUAAAAUCCCUUUGGCUUCAAAA